AGAGUUUGAUCCUGGCUCAGGACGAACGCUGGCGGCGCGCCUAACACAUGCAAGUCGAACGAGCGAGAGAGAGCUUGCUUUCUCGAGCGAGUGGCGAACGGGUGAGUAACGCGUGAGGAACCUGCCUCAAAGAGGGGGACAACAGUUGGAAACGACUGCUAAUACCGCAUAAGCCCACGGCUCGGCAUCGAGCAGAGGGAAAAGGAGCAAUCCGCUUUGAGAUGGCCUCGCGUCCGAUUAGCUAGUUGGUGAGGUAACGGCCCACCAAGGCGACGAUCGGUAGCCGGACUGAGAGGUUGAACGGCCACAUUGGGACUGAGACACGGCCCAGACUCCUACGGGAGGCAGCAGUGGGGAAUAUUGCACAAUGGGGGAAACCCUGAUGCAGCGACGCCGCGUGGAGGAAGAAGGUCUUCGGAUUGUAAACUCCUGUUGUUGAGGAAGAUAAUGACGGUACUCAACAAGGAAGUGACGGCUAACUACGUGCCAGCAGCCGCGGUAAAACGUAGGUCACAAGCGUUGUCCGGAAUUACUGGGUGUAAAGGGAGCGCAGGCGGGAAGACAAGUUGGAAGUGAAAUCCAUGGGCUCAACCCAUGAACUGCUUUCAAAACUGUUUUUCUUGAGUAGUGCAGAGGUAGGCGGAAUUCCCGGUGUAGCGGUGGAAUGCGUAGAUAUCGGGAGGAACACCAGUGGCGAAGGCGGCCUACUGGGCACCAACUGACGCUGAGGCUCGAAAGUGUGGGUAGCAAACAGGAUUAGAUACCCUGGUAGUCCACACCGUAAACGAUGAUUACUAGGUGUGGGGGGACUGACCCCUUCCGUGCCGGAGUUAACACAAUAAGUAAUCCACCUGGGGAGUACGACCGCAAGGUUGAAACUCAAAGGAAUUGACGGGGGCCCGCACAAGCAGUGGAGUAUGUGGUUUAAUUCGACGCAACGCGAAGAACCUUACCAAGUCUUGACAUCCUGCGACGGUUCUGGAAACAGAACUUUCCUUCGGGACGCAGAGACAGGUGGUGCAUGGUUGUCGUCAGCUCGUGUCGUGAGAUGUUGGGUUAAGU
rnacentral:rRNA from 1 species